rnacentral:rRNA from 1 species
UACGAAGGGGGCUAGCGUUGUUCGGAAUCACUGGGCGUAAAGCGCACGCAGGCGGAUUGAUAAGUCAGGGGUGAAAUCCCGGAGCUCAACUUCGGAAUUGCCUUUGAUACUGUCUAUCUUCGAGUUCGGGAGAGGUUGGCGGAAUUCCUAGUGUAGAGGUGAAAUUCGUAGAUAUUAGGAAGAACACCAGUGGCGAAGGCGGCCAACUGGCCCGAUACUGACGCUCAUGUGCGAAAGCGUGGGGAGCAAACAG